rnacentral:rRNA from 1 species
UUCGUCCUACGGGGGGCAGCAGUGAGGAAUAUUGGUCAAUGGGCGGGAGCCUGAACCAGCCAAGCCGCGUGAAGGAAGAAGGCGCCAAGCGUCGUAAACUUCUUUUGUCGGGGAACAAAGGGCGCCACGUGUGGCGUUGUGAGUGUACCCGAAGAAAAAGCAUCGGCUAACUCCGUGCCAGCAGCCGCGGUAAUACGGAGGAUGCGAGCGUUAUCCGGAUUUAUUGGGUUUAAAGGGUGCGCAGGCGGUCUGUUAAGUCAGCGGUCAAAGCCCGGGGCUCAACCCCGGCCCGCCGUUGAAACUGG